UCGCUCUUCAACGAGGAAUCCCUAGUAAGCACAAGUCACCAGCUUGUGCUGAUUACGUCCCUGCCCUUUGUACACACCGCCCGUCGCUACUACCGAUUGAAUGGCUUAGUGAGGCCCUCGGAUCGACUUUCUGAGACUGGCAACAGUCUUUGAUUGUUGAGAAGUUGGUCAAACUUGGUCAUUUAGAGGAAGUAAAAGUCGUAACAAGGUUUCCGUAGGUGAACCUGCGGAAGGAUCAUUACUGAUUUAGCGAACCGAGGUUUUGCGAUCACUUGUAUUUAAAACCCAACUCAUAUAAAAUAUGUAUAUUUUUGAAAAAUAAAUUAAAGAUCACUUUCAACAACGGAUCUCUUGGCUCUCGCAUCGAUGAAGAACGUAGCGAAGUGCGAUAAGUAAUGUGAAUUGCAGAAUUCCGUGAAUCAUCGAAUCUUUGAACGCAUAUUGCACUUUCUGGUAUUCCGGAAAGUAUGCCUGUUUGAGGGUCAGUUAAAUAAAAAUCGGUGUUGUUGCUGCUAUUAGUGGUGAUGCAUCGGAAUUGAGUUGUUCUUUGCCCUUUGGUAUAAGUGACUUAAAAUUUGUACGAUUUUUGAACGUAUUUAAAUUAUUUACGUACGUUCAUAAUAAUCAUAUAUUAGGUGCGGUCAUUAUUAUGAUUUCGCGCCUAUAAUUUUUUCAUUAUUUGACCUCAAAUCAGGUAAGAAUACCCGCUGAACUUAAGCAUAUCAAUAAGCGGAGGAAAAGAAAAUAACAAUGAUUCCCUUAGUAACGGCGAGUGAAGGGGGAUAAGCUCAAAUUUUAAAUCUGCUAGGUUUUACCUAUCAGAGUUGUAAUUUGAAGAAGCGUUUUCCGCGUCUCGGUUGACCCAAAUCCUUUGGGAUAUGGUAUCAUGGAGGGUGAGAAUCCCGUCCGGUUGACUUUGUGACGCUUUACGAUACGUUUUCAAAGAGUCGAGUUGUUUGGGAUUGCAGCUCAAAAUGGGAGGUAAAUUUCUCCUAAGGCUAAAUAUUGGCGAGAGACCGAUAGCGAACAAGUACCGUGAGGGAAAGAUGAAAAGAACUUUGAAAAGAGAGUUAAACAGUACGUGAAAUUGUUAAAAGGGAAACGCUUGAAAGCCAGUGACUUUUGAUAAGGCGCCCGGGGAAUCAGCCGGCGAGGGGGGGGGGGGAGACCUCCUCCUUCGCCGGUGCACUUACCCGGGCACGAGGCCAACAUCAGCUUUUUCGGGCUGGAAGAGGGUGCGCCAGGAAGGUAGGUCUUGCGGGGUCUCGCAUCCCGCUCGACUGUUAUAGCCUGGCUUCCUGAACAGGCCCGGAAGGCUGAGGAAAAAGAGUCCCCUUUUUGGAGCCCCCUGCCCCUGGUUGGCUGGGUCUGGUUACCCGCUGGCGGGUCCCCCUCGGGGGGCCCACAGAUGACCAGGCCAGGAGCUGGCCCUGCGGUGGGGGGAUCUCACAAACGCGGGGACGGAGAUGUUGGCACAAAUGGUUUCAAUCGACCCGUCUUGAAACACGGACCAAGGAGUCUAACAUGUAUGCGAGUGUU
rnacentral:rRNA from 1 species